rnacentral:rRNA from 1 species
UAGGGAAUAUUGCACAAUGGGCGAAAGCCUGAUGCAGCAACGCCGCGUGCGCGAAGAAGGUCUUCGGAUCGUAAAGCGCUUUUCGGGGAGAUGAGGAAGGACAGUAUCCCCGGAAUAAGGCUCGGCUAACUACGUGCCAGCAGCCGCGGUAAAACGUAGGAGCCAAGCGUUAUCCGAAUUCACUGGGCGUAAAGCGCGUGCAGGCGGUCUGGUAAGUUGGAUGUGAAAUCUCCUGGCUCAACUGGGAGAGGCCGUUCAAUACUGUCAGACUAGAGGGCGACAGAGGGAGGUAGAAUUCCCGGUGUAGUGGUGAAAUGCGUAGAUAUCGGGAGGAAUACCAGAGGCGAAGGCGACCUUCUGGGUCGUACCUGACGCUCAGACGCGAAAGCUAGGGGAGCAAACGGGAUUAGAAACCCGGUAGUCCUAGCCGCAACGAUGUAGACUGGGUGUUGGCGGGGUAAAGCCGUCAGUGCCGAAGCAAACGCGAUAAGUCUACCGCCUGGGGAC